rnacentral:rRNA from 1 species
GAUGAACGCUAGCUACAGGCUUAACACAUGCAAGUCGAGGGGAAACGACAUCGAAAGCUUGCUUUUGAUGGGCGUCGACCGGCGCACGGGUGAGUAACGCGUAUCCAACCUGCCCACCACUUGGGGAUAACCUUGCGAAAGUAAGACUAAUACCCAAUGACGUCUCUAGAAGACAUCUGAAAGAGAUUAAAGAUUUAUCGGUGAUGGAUGGGGAUGCGUCUGAUUAGCUGGUUGGCGGGUUAACGGCCCACCAAGGCGACGAUCAGUAGGGGUUCUGAGAGGAAGGUCCCCCACAUUGGAACUGAGACACGGUCCAAACUCCUACGGGAGGCAGCAGUGAGGAAUAUUGGUCAAUGGACGAGAGUCUGAACCAGCCAAGUAGCGUGCAGGAUGACGGCCCUAUGGGUUGUAAACUGCUUUUAUAAGGGAAUAAAGUGAGUCUCGUGAGACUUUUUGCAUGUACCUGAUGAAUAAGGACCGGCUAAUUCCGUG